AAAUUGGACUAGCCCUUAAGCUUUACACGCGUUAGACGAACGGUCUGGAAAGUCCGGCGAUACAGGGUGAUAGCCCCGUAGUUGACGACGUGUGUUCAGUGAAAUCGAGUAGGGCGGGACACGUGAUAUCCUGUCUGAAUAUGGGGGGACCAUCCUCCAAGGCUAAAUACUACUGACUGAC
rnacentral:rRNA from 1 species